GUACUACUUCCUCCGUUCCGAAUUACUUGUCUUGGAUUUGUCUAGAUACGGAUGUAUCUAGACUCAUUUUAGUGCUAGAUACCUCCGUAUCUAGACAAAUCUAAGACAAGUAAUUCAGAACGGAGGGAGUACAUG
rnacentral:pre_miRNA from 1 species